rnacentral:rRNA from 1 species
UACGAAGGUGGCGAGCGUUGCUCGGAAUGACUGGGCGUAAAGGGCGCGUAGGCGGACUGCACAGUCAGGCGUGAAAUUCCUGGGCUUAACCUGGGGACUGCGUCUGAGACGUGUGAUCUAGAGUGAGGAAGAGGGUCGUGGAAUUUCCAGUGUAGAGGUGAAAUUCGUAGAUAUUGGAAAGAACGCAGGUGGCGAAGGCGGCGACCUGGUCCUUGCCUGACGCUGAGGCGCGAAAGCGUGGGGAGCAAACAGG